rnacentral:rRNA from 1 species
AGGGUUCGAUUCUGGCUCAGGAUGAACGCUAGCUACAGGCUUAACACAUGCAAGUCGAGGGGCAGCAUGAGAUUAGCUUGCUAAUCUUGAUGGCGACCGGCGCACGGGUGAGUAACGCGUAUCCAACCUUCCCCCUACUCAGGCAUAGCCCGGUGAAAACCGGAUUAACUCCUGAUAGUUUCACUAGAUGGCAUCUGACGGUGAAUAAAGCUUUGCGGUAAGGGAUGGGGAUGCGUCUGAUUAGCUUGUUGGCGGGGUAACGGCCACCAAGGCGACGAUCAGUAGGGGUUCUGAGAGGAAGGUCCCCCACAUUGGAACUGAGACACGGUCCAAACUCCUACGGGAGGCAGCAGUGAGGAAUAUUGGUCAAUGGGCGCGAGCCUGAACCAGCCAAGUAGCCGUGCAGGAAGACGGCCCUAUGGGUUGUAAACUGCUUUUGUGCGGGAAUAAAGUCAGGGACGUGUCCCUGUUUGCAUGUACCGCAAGAAUAAGGACCGGCUAAUUCCGUGCCAGCCGCCGC